rnacentral:rRNA from 1 species
CUGUGAGCUCGAUGAGUAGGGCGGGACACGUGGUAUCCUGUCUGAAUAUGGGGGGACCAUCCUCCAAGGCUAAAUACUCCUGACUGACCGAUAGUGAACCAGUACCGUGAGGGAAAGGCGAAAAGAACCCCGGCGAGGGGAGUGAAAAAGAACCUGAAACCGUGUACGUACAAGCAGUGGGAGCACAGAGCAAUCUGUGUGACUGCGUACCUUUUGUAUAAUGGGUCAGCGACUUAUAUUCUGUAGCAAGGUUAACCGAAUAGGGGAGCCGAAGGGAAACCGAGUCUUAACUGGGCGUUAAGUUGCAGGGUAUAGACCCGAAACCCGGUGAUCUAGCCAUGGGCAGGUUGAAGGUUGGGUAACACUAACUGGAGGACCGAACCGACUAAUGUUGAAAAAUUAGCGGAUGACUUGUGGCUGGGGGUGAAAGGCCAAUCAAACCGGGAGAUAGCUGGUUCUCCCCGAAAGCUAUUUAGGUAGCGCCUCGUGAAUUCAUCUCCGGGGGUAGAGCACUGUUUCGGCAAGGGGGUCAUCCCGACUUACCAACCCGAUGCAAACUGCGAAUACCGGAGAAUGUUAUCACGGGAGACACACGGCGGGUGCUAACGUCCGUCGUGAAGAGGGAAACAACCCAGACCGCCAGCUAAGGUCCCAAAGUCAUGGUUAAGUGGGAAACGAUGUGGGAAGGCCCAGACAGCCAGGAUGUUGGCUUAGAAGCAGCCAUCAUUUAAAGAAAGCGUAAUAGCUCACUGGUCGAGUCGGCCUGCGCGGAAGAUGUAACGGGGCUAAACCAUGCACCGAAGCUGCGGCAGCGACGCUUAUGCGUUGUUGGGUAGGGGAGCGUUCUGUAAGCCUGCGAAGGUGUGCUGUGAGGCAUGCUGGAGGUAUCAGAAGUGCGAAUGCUGACAUAAGUAACGAUAAAGCGGGUGAAAAGCCCGCUCGCCGGAAGACCAAGGGUUCCUGUCCAACGUUAAUCGGGGCAGGGUGAGUCGACCCCUAAGGCGAGGCCGAAAGGCGUAGUCGAUGGGAAACAGGUUAAUAUUCCUGUACUUGGUGUUACUGCGAAGGGGGGACGGAGAAGGCUAUGUUGGCCGGGCGACGGUUGUCCCGGUUUAAGCGUGUAGGCUGGUUUUCCAGGCAAAUCCGGAAAAUCAAGGCUGAGGCGUGAUGACGAGGCACUACGGUGCUGAAGCAACAAAUGCCCUGCUUCCAGGAAAAGCCUCUAAGCAUCAGGUAACAUCAAAUCGUACCCCAAACCGACACAGGUGGUCAGGUAGAGAAUACCAAGGCGCUUGAGAGAACUCGGGUGAAGGAACUAGGCAAAAUGGUGCCGUAACUUCGGGAGAAGGCACGCUGAUAUGUAGGUGAAGUGCCUUGCUGGUGGAGCUGAAAUCAGUCGAAGAUACCAGCUGGCUGCAACUGUUUAUUAAAAACACAGCACUGUGCAAACACGAAAGUGGACGUAUACGGUGUGACGCCUGCCCGGUGCCGGAAGGUUAAUUGAUGGGGUCAGCGCAAGCGAAGCUCUUGAUCGAAGCCCCGGUAAACGGCGGCCGUAACUAUAACGGUCCUAAGGUAGCGAAAUUCCUUGUCGGGUAAGUUCCGACCUGCACGAAUGGCGUAAUGAUGGCCAGGCUGUCUCCACCCGAGACUCAGUGAAAUUGAACUCGCUGUGAAGAUGCAGUGUACCCGCGGCAAGACGGAAAGACCCCGUGAACCUUUACUAUAGCUUGACACUGAACAUUGAGCCUUGAUGUGUAGGAUAGGUGGGAGGCUUGGAAGUGUGGACGCCAGUCUGCAUGGAGCCGACCUUGAAAUACCACCCUUUAAUGUUUGAUGUUCUAACGUUGACCCGUAAUCCGGGUUGCGGACAGUGUCUGGUGGGUAGUUUGACUGGGGCGGUCUCCUCCUAAAGAGUAACGGAGGAGCACGAAGGUUGGCUAAUCCUGGUCGGACAUCAGGAGGUUAGUGCAAUGGCAUAAGCCAGCUUGACUGCGAGCGUGACGGCGCGAGCAGGUGCGAAAGCAGGUCAUAGUGAUCCGGUGGUUCUGAAUGGAAGGGCCAUCGCUCAACGGAUAAAAGGUACUCCGGGGAUAACAGGCUGAUACCGCCCAAGAGUUCAUAUCGACGGCGGUGUUUGGCACCUCGAUGUCGGCUCAUCACAUCCUGGGGCUGAAGUAGGUCCCAAGGGUAUGGCUGUUCGCCAUUUAAAGUGGUACGCGAGCUGGGUUUAGAACGUCGUGAGACAGUUCGGUCCCUAUCUGCCGUGGGCGCUGGAGAACUGAGGGGGGCUGCUCCUAGUACGAGAGGACCGGAGUGGACGCAUCACUGGUGUUCGGGUUGUCAUGCCAAUGGCACUGCCCGGUAGCUAAAUGCGGAAGAGAUAAGUGCUGAAAGCAUCUAAGCACGAAACUUGCCCCGAGAUGAGUUCUCCCUGACUCCUUGAGAGUCCUGAAGGAACGUUGAAGACGACGACGUUGAUAGGCCGGGUGUGUAAGCGCAGCGAUGCGUUGAGCUAACCGGUACUAAUGAACCGUGAGGCUUAACCUU